rnacentral:rRNA from 1 species
CGGGUGAGUAACGCGUGGGGAACCUGCCUCAUACAGGGGAAUAACAGAUGGAAACGUCUGCUAAUGCCGCAUAAGCGCACACUGUGGCAUCACAGAGUGUGAAAAACUCCGGUGGUAUGAGAUGGCCCCGCGUCUGAUUAGGCAGUUGGCGGGGUAACGGCCCACCAAACCGACGAUCAGUAGCCGACCUGAGAGGGUGACCGGCCACAUUGGGACUGAGACACGGCCCAAACUCCUACGGGAGGCAGCAG